UCAGCAGCUUUCAGCCAGCCAAACGCUGUCUAUACACACGAGGAAGAGAUGGAGACUAUGAAGACUCUGCUGAAGGUUUAUCUGCUGCUGCUGAUCGGACCUCCCUUCACUCUGGAACAAUCAGUGGUCCAGUACAUCACCGAGCUCCAGGUGUCUCUGGAUGAAGCUGAAGAGACGUAUCUUAGCAGUCAAGGUUUCAUCAAAAUCGAUGUUGAUCUGAACAAAGGAGCUGAAGGAAA